CAGAGAUGGCUCCAGUCUGGCUGUCAAGCAAAGAUAGCACAGGAACUCCAUUGUUUAAUUAAUCUCAUCAAUAGGAUUGCUGCCUGGGGAUUAAAGGUUGGGUUUAAUACAUGUAUCUGUUUAUCAAUGUUAAUUUAUGUUAAUGAAGUUCUGUGGAUAUAUGAGUCUAUGUUUUACAACAAUAAACUGUUCAUUCCCGCUGUACUCAA